UCCUACGGGAGGCAGCAGUGAGGAAUAUUGGUCAAUGGGCGAGAGCCUGAACCAGCCAAGUAGCGUGCAGGAUGACGGCCCUAUGGGUUGUAAACUGCUUUUAUGCGGGGAUAAAGUGAGGGAUGCGUCCCUUUUUGCAGGUACCGCAUGAAUAAGGACCGGCUAAUUCCGUGCCAGCAGCCGCGGUAAU
rnacentral:rRNA from 1 species